CUGCCCAGGCUGCAUCUGGAGACACAAUCCGCAGCCCCUGGGUCUGUGCAGUUACCAGCCAGACUCUGAGAACUUUCCCCUCCAGCACCAGGGAAAAUGGGAUUUUUGCACCUUGUAAUUUUCGCUGUAGCAGCUUUGGAAGGUGUCCGGUCCCAGGUCCAGCUGGUGGAGUCCGGAGGGGAUGUGAAAAAGCCCGGAGACUCUCUCCGCCUCUCCUGCAAAGCCUCCGGAUUCACCUUCAGCAGCUACUAUAUGGACUGGGUCCGACAGGCUCCUGGCAAGGGACUAGAAUGGGUCGCUUUUAUAAGCACUGAUGGGAGUACAAUAUAUUACCCCGAUUCAGUGAAAGGCCGAUUCACCAUCUCCAGGGAUAAUUCCAAGAGUGAGGUGUAUCUGCAAAUGACCGGCCUGAAGCCCGAGGACACCGCCCGCUAUUACUGUGCGAGAGACACAGUGACAGGAAACUGUUUUGUGAUCAUACAAAAACCCAGGCUGUGGAAUUGCCCUUCUCCCGGCAGCAGCGCGGGGGCAGCAGUGACACACACACCGCUUCAGGCUCAGACAGGAGACCUGGCAACCAGGCAACUGGGUGAAUGUAACACAAACCUCCUGUCAGUUUUAACCCUUUUGUUCCCGGGCAACGUGUCUCCCCGUCCUGCCCAGAGCCCCGCUAGCCUGCGGGUUCAGAAAUCCUUUGCUUCAUUUGGGAACUCCAAUCCGGAGUGA